rnacentral:rRNA from 1 species
GUCCUUAGUUACCAGCACGUUAUGGUGGGCACUCUAAGGAGACUGCCGGUGACAAACCGGAGGAAGGUGGGGAUGACGUCAAGUCAUCAUGGCCCUUACGGCCUGGGCGUACACACGUGCUACAAUGGCCGGCACAACGGGAAGCGAGUUCGCGAGGACAAGCGGAUCCCUUAAAGCCGGUCGCAGUUCGGAUUGAAGUCUGCAACUCGACUUCAUGAAGCUGGAAUCGCUAGUAAUCGUGGAUCAGCCAAGCCGCGGUGAAUACGUUCCCGGGCCUU